rnacentral:rRNA from 1 species
GAUGAACGCUGGCGGCAUGCCUAAUACAUGCAAGUCGAGCGACCGCAUAAUAAGCUUUCUCCUCUGCCGUUAGCGACUGACGGAUGAGUAAGACAUAGAUAACCUUCCUAUAAGUCUGGGGUAACUACGGGGAACCACAGCCGCUACCACAUCAUAUAUCCAACCGGAUGAUUCAAGAGAUCAUGACGCUUUUCCCGUCUCUUAUAGAUGGUUCCGCGCCGCAUUAGCUAGUUGGUAAGGUAACGGCUUACCAAGGCGACGAUGCGUAGCCGACCUGAGAGGGUGAUCGGCCACACUGGAACUGAGACACGGUCCAGACUCCUACGGGAGGCAGCAGUAGGGAAUCUUGCGCAAUGGGCGAAAGCUUGACGCAGCAAUGCCGCGUGAGUGAAGAAGGUCUUCGGAUCGUAAAACUCUGUUGUUAGGGAAGAACAAAUGUGUGAGAAACUAUGGCUGUCUUGACGGUACCUAAUCAGAAAGCCACGGCUAACUUCGUG